GACCCCAGAGGAAAACGUGCAUUGGGUGCACUGGCCCCAGGCCAGUGUCUCUCAGCCAUGUGCUCAACCCCUGGUGAGCUGAAGCUCAGGCCCUUCCUGGCAUCCUGGUCUCCUGCACUGAGCUGUGGUCUGCAGUGGCAUCUGGCAUCUGGUCCAGCCUCCUUGGUGGGCCGUGAACUGAAUGGUGGCGCUUGCCUGUGCCCAGUAGAUCUGGGUUCAGUGGCUGAGAGAGCAUUGGUUGCCCUGUGUCCGUGACGGGCCACUGUUCUGCAUGCAUCCCAUCACAUGGAUCCAUGGAGAAUGUUGAGCCCGGAGGAAGACUUGUGCUGGGCCCAAUGGCCCCGGGUCAUCGUCUGUCAGCCAGGUGCCCAGCCCCUGGAGCACUGAAGAUCAGGCCCUUCCUGGCACCCUGGUCUCCUGCAUUGAGCUGUGGUGAGCACAUCCAUAUCCUGCUGGAUGCAUGUGUGGGGAGAGGGGUGCCCUGGGUUGGGUCGAUGAUGAGAACCUUAUAUUGUCCUGAAGAGAGGUGAUAACUUAAAAAUCAUGCUCAAUAGGAUUACGCUGAGGCCCAGUCUAGGUGAGAGUUUUGGAAGAGGAUGCUGGGAUCCCAAGGUCCCCAGGAGGGCCCCUGUAUUUUUGGCUGGAGACCUAGAGGCCCUGAAGGGCAUCUUGGGGGUGCCCAAGCCUGUCUCUGUGCUCCUCCUUGAGGCAGCCCAGGCUCCCUGUGCAGGCUUGGUGUUGGCCCUCCAGUUCCUCGGGGUUGAGGCACAUUGGAAGCUCCUUUCUGAGCCCCGUUCUCCCCUUGUGUCUUU
rnacentral:sRNA from 1 species